ACAUAGCAAAGCAGCUCAGAGUUGGAUCUAGGGGAAAGCGCUGGAAUCCACGCUCCGCUUCCCCACGCAGCCUCGCCUGUGGCCCCAGCAGCGCCCUCUGCACAUGGGAGGUCGGGCAGCUUAGCGGAGCUCCCCGGCCAGGGACUCAGGCCUCACCAGGGGCCCGCGUGUCCAGCCUGACGUGGGCCAUCUGAAUCGAAAUACACCCAUCUUGCUCAAGACGAGGCCUAGAGAGUCAGUCACUUUAACGACAGGUGACCUUGGAGGUGGCCGGCAGGUUCCUGGCGUUGGAGGCCAGCACACACCUGCUGGUGUUCGGCAUGGAGCAGCGGCUGCCGCCCAACAGCGAGCUGGUGCAGGCCGUGCUGCGGCUCUUCCAGGAGCCGGUCCCCAAGGCCGCGCUGCACAGGCACGGGCGGCUGUCCCCGCGCAGCGCCCGGGCCCGGGUGACCGUCGAGUGGCUGCGCGUCCGCGACGACGGCUCCAACCGCACCUCCCUCAUCGACUCCAGG
rnacentral:lncRNA from 1 species